rfam:Oryza glumipatula chromosome 3, whole genome shotgun sequence.
UUUAAGUGCAGUUAUGGGUUUUCGUGUCCAAUGCUUGACCGUGCAUCUUAUUUGAAAUUUUUUUCUAAUCACUAUUUUCAUUCUUAUUAGAUGAUAAAAUAUGAAUAGUACUUUAUGCCCGACUUAUUUUUUUAUUUUUUUUAAAUAAGACGGAUUAUGAAGCGUUGGACACGGAAACCCGUAAUCGUAUUUAAA